GCUGGCGGCGUGCCUAAUACAUGCAAGUCGAGCGGACAGAAGGGAGCUUGCUCCCGGAUGUUAGCGGCGGACGGGUGAGUAACACGUGGGUAACCUGCCUGUAAGACUGGGAUAACUCCGGGAAACCGGAGCUAAUACCGGAUAGUUCCUUGAACCGCAUGGUUCAAGGAUGAAAGACGGUUUCGGCUGUCACUUACAGAUGGACCCGCGGCGCAUUAGCUAGUUGGUGGGGUAAUGGCUCACCAAGGCGACGAUGCGUAGCCGACCUGAGAGGGUGAUCGGCCACACUGGGACUGAGACACGGCCCAGACUCCUACGGGAGGCAGCAGUAGGGAAUCUUCCGCAAUGGACGAAAGUCUGACGGAGCAAUCGCCGCGUGAGUGAUGAAAGGUUUUCGGAUCGUAAAGCUACUGUUGUUAGGGAAGAACAAGUGCGAGAGUAACUGCUCGCACCCUGACCGGACCUAUCAAAAGACCGA
rnacentral:rRNA from 1 species